UUCCAAUGAUGCUAAGAGAGCAACACUAAUGUUCACUGUAUCGAGGAACCAGAGACAUUAGAGAAUGUAAAGACCUCUAAGAGCAAAUAAUUUAAUGGCUACCAGUCUUUUGGGGCAGUUCAGACAGUUAACUGUGUUAGCCCCACAGCUGUGUCACCCACGUUUUACUCCACUCCAUGCACCUGAUUCUGCAUUGAAGCUUGGGCAGUGGCCAGACUUGGGUUUGCAAUUAGCCCAAGCUCUAUGGCAAAUAGAGCAUGCAUGAUUAAAUGGAACACAGGCACUGGCCAUGCCUUGAGACGUAGGACAGAGGCUCAUCACUAAGCUUAAGAUGUUGUCACAGUUAUUUUAGUUCCUGGCUCUCCCAGACAGAAGACACCAUCCUACACAUGCUGACCACACAUAGAUCAGUUCCUAUCAGGGAUGGUCUAGACGGCACUGGGUCCUGCCAUGAGGGCAGGGGACUGGACGCGAUGACCUCUCAAGGUUCCUUCCAGUUCUAGUGUUCUAUGAUUCUAUGAAUUAUUUAUUUUGUACAGUGCACUAUUGAAAACUCCCUCAUAGCAUAUAUGCAGUAAAUAAAGAGGACUUACAAUGCUA